rnacentral:rRNA from 1 species
GAUGAACGCUAGCUACAGGCUUAACACAUGCAAGUCGAGGGGCAGCGGUAUCGAAAGCUUGCUUUCGGUAGCCGGCGACCGGCGCACGGGUGAGUAACGCGUAUCGAACCUGCCUCAUACUCGGGAAUAGCCUUGCGAAAGUAAGAUUAAUGCCCGGUGUUUUCAGAUUCCCGCAUGAGGGUUUGAACAAAGAUUUAUCGGUAUGAGAUGGCGAUGCGUCCCAUUAGCUUGUUGGCGGGGUAACGGCCCACCAAGGCAUCGAUGGGUAGGGGUUCUGAGAGGAAGGUCCCCCACAUUGGAACUGAGACACGGUCCAAACUCCUACGGGAGGCAGCAGUGAGGAAUAUUGGUCAAUGGGCGGAAGCCUGAACCAGCCAAGUAGCGUGCAGGAAGACGGCCCUCCGGGUUGUAAACUGCUUUUAGUUGGGAAUAAAACGGGGCUCGUGAGCCCCCUUGCAUGUACCAUCAGAAAAAGGACCGGCUAAUUCCGUGCCAGCAGCCGCGGUAAUACGGAAGGUCCGGGCGUUAUCCGGAUUUAUUGGGUUUAAAGGGAGCGCAGGCGGACCUUUAAGUCAGCUGUGAAAUACGGCGGCUCAACCGUCGAACUGCAGUUGAUACUGGAGGUCUUGAGUGCACACAGGGAUGCUGGAAUUCAUGGUGUAGCGGUGAAAUGCUCAGAUAUCAUGAAGAACUCCGAUCGCGAAGGCAGGCAUCCGGGGUGCAACUGACGCUGAGGCUCGAAAGUGCGGGUAUCAAACAGGAUUAGAUACCCUGGUAGUCCGCACAGUAAACGAUGAAUACUCGCGGUUUGCGAUACAAUGUAAGCCGCCAAGCGAAAGCGUUAAGUAUUCCACCUGGGGGAGUACGCCGGCAACGGUGAAACUCAAAGGAAUUGACGGGGGCCCGCACAAGCGGAGGAACAUGUGGUUUAAUUCGAUGAUACGCGAGGAACCUUACCCGGGCUUGAACUGCCAGCGACGGAUGCAGAGACGCAUCUUUCUUCGGACGCUGGCGGAGGUGCUGCAUGGUUGUCGUCAGAUCGUGCCGUGAGGUGUCGGCUUAAGUGCCAUAACGAGCGCAACCCUCAUCCUCGUUUGCCAUCAGGUGAUGCUGGGCACUCCGGGGACACUGCCAUCGUAAGAUGUGAGGAAGGUGGGGAUGACGUCAAAUCAGCACGGCCCUUACGUCCGGGGCUACACACGUGUUACAAUGGGCGGUACAGAGGGCAGCCACUGCGCGAGCAGGAGCCAAUCCUCAAAGCCGUUCUCAGUUCGGACUGGAGUCUGCAACCCGACUCCACGAAGCUGGAUUCGUUAGUAAUCGCGCAUCAGCCAUGGCGCGGUGAAUACGUUCCCGGGCCUUGCACACACCGCCCGUCAAGCCAUGAAAGCCGGGAGCACUUGAAGGCCGUGACCGCAAGGGUCGGUCUAGAGUGAUACUGGUAA